rnacentral:rRNA from 1 species
GCAGGCUUAACACAUGCAAGUCGAGGGGCAGCAUAACACUUCGGUGUUGAUGGCGACCGGCGCACGGGUGCGUAACACGUAUAGAACCUACCCAUAACAGGGGGAUAGCCCAGAGAAAUUUGGAUUAAUACCCCAUAGUGUAUUAAUGAGGCAUCUCAUUUUUAUUAAAGAUUUAUCGGUUAUGGAUGGCUAUGCGUCCUAUUAGUUUGUUGGUGAGGUAAUGGCUCACCAAGGCUACGAUAGGUAGGGGUUCUGAGAGGAAUGUCCCCCACACUGGUACUGAGACACGGACCAGACUCCUACGGGAGGCAGCAGUGAGGAAUAUUGGACAAUGGGCGCAAGCCUGAUCCAGCCAUGCCGCGUGCAGGAAGAAGGCUUUCUAGUUGUAAACUGCUUUUAUUCACGAGGAAUAUGUCCCUUGCGAGGGAUUUUGACGUUAGUGUUUGAAUAAGCACCGGCUAACUCCGUGCCA